rnacentral:rRNA from 1 species
UGCAAGUCGACGGUAACAGGAAUUAGCUUGCUAAUUUGCUGACGAGUGGCGCACGGGUGCGUAACGCGUAUACAAUCUACCUUUUGCUGAGGGAUAGCCCAGAGAAAUUUGGAUUAAUACCUCAUGGUAUUAUUGAUAGGCAUCUAUUAAUAAUUAAAGGUUACGGCAAAAGAUGAGUAUGCGUCCCAUUAGCUAGUUGGCGAGGUAACGGCUCACCAAGGCAACGAUGGGUAGGGGUCCUGAGAGGGAGAUCCCCCACACUGGUACUGAGACACGGACCAGACUCCUACGGGAGGCAGCAGUGAGGAAUAUUGGACAAUGGGCGAGAGCCUGAUCCAGCCAUGCCGCGUGCAGGAAGACUGCCCUAUGGGUUGUAAACUGCUUUUAUACAGGAAGAAUAAGCCUUACGUGUAAGGUGAUGACGGUACUGUAAGAAUAAGGACCGGCUAACUCCGUGCCAGCAGCCGCGGUAAUACGGAGGGUCCGAGCGUUAUCCGGAAUUAUUGGGUUUAAAGGGUCCGUAGGCGGAUGAUUAAGUCAGGGGUGAAAGUUUGCAGCUCAACUGUAAAAUUGCCUUUGAUACUGGUUAUCUUGA